rnacentral:lncRNA from 1 species
AUGAACAUCUCUUUGAAGUGCAGCCCAUUCUGGAAUAUUUUCCCCAAAACACCACAACCACAUAUUGAGGUGUCUCUGCGGGUGGCAGUAGGUGGAGAUAAACCCGGGAGACAGACAAAGAAGGUGGAGACUGUGUGUGUGUGUGUGUGUGUGUGUGUGGAGAGGUGUUUGCUUUUCGGUACAGAUAUAAUCACACAGCCUGUAAUAUAUUUAUUCGUCUUUUUCGGUCUGUUGCAGCUUUCCGUGACCUCAAUUUAUCUCACUGCAGACCGGAACGGCAACAAACAGAUUUCAUAUAUUGGAAGAAGACACAUCUGGAUCCUGUCAACAACACCAGAUGGAUUUGAAGGAUCAACUUGAUUCAGUUUUUCAGCACAUAAUCUCCUUUUUCUUUUAAACAGUGACUCGUCUGCACAAAACACAUCACUGCUGUAGUUAAGAAGUAACAU